UACAGAGGUCUCAAGCGUUGUUCGGAUUCAUUGGGCGUAAAGGGCGCGUAGGCGGCGGGGUAAGUCGGGUGUGAAAUCUCAGAGCUCAACUCUGAAACUGCACUCGAUACUGCUCUGCUUGAGGACUGGAGAGGAGACUGGAAUUCACGGUGUAGCAGUGAAAUGCGUAGAUAUCGUGAGGAAGACCAGUGGCGAAGGCGGGUCGUCUGGACAGUUCCUGACGCUGAGGCACGAAGGCCAGGGGAGCAAACGGGG
rnacentral:rRNA from 1 species